rnacentral:rRNA from 1 species
GCGAACGGGGAGGAGCCCAGAGCCUGAAUCAGUGUGUGUGUUAGUGGAAGCGUCUGGAAAGGCGCGCGAUACAGGGUGACAGCCCCGUACACAAAAAUGCACAUGCUGUGAGCUCGAUGAGUAGGGCGGGACACGUGGUAUCCUGUCUGAAUAUGGGGGGACCAUCCUCCAAGGCUAAAUACUCCUGACUGACCGAUAGUGAACCAGUACCGUGAGGGAAAGGCGAAAAGAACCCCGGCGAGGGGAGUGAAAAAGAACCUGAAACCGUGUACGUACAAGCAGUGGGAGCACGCUUAGGCGUGUGACUGCGUACCUUUUGUAUAAUGGGUCAGCGACUUAUAUUCUGUAGCAAGGUUAACCGAAUAGGGGAGCCGAAGGGAAACCGAGUCUUAACUGGGCGUUAAGUUGCAGGGUAUAGACCCGAAACCCGGUGAUCUAGCCAUGGGCAGGUUGAAGGUUGGGUAACACUAACUGGAGGACCGAACCGACUAAUGUUGAAAAAUUAGCGGAUGACUUGUGGCUGGGGGUGAAAGGCCAAUCAAACCGGGAGAUAGCUGGUUCUCCCCGAAAGCUAUUUAGGUAGCGCCUCGUGAAUUCAUCUCCGGGGGUAGAGCACUGUUUCGGCAAGGGGGUCAUCCCGACUUACCAACCCGAUGCAAACUGCGAAUACCGGAGAAUGUUAUCACGGGAGACACACGGCGGGUGCUAA